AAGGGUAUAGCUCAGUGGUGGAGUGUGUGUUUAGCAAGCAUGAAGUCCGGGGUUCAAUCCCCAGUACUUUCA
rnacentral:tRNA from 1 species